rnacentral:rRNA from 1 species
AUUGAACGCUGGCGGUAUGCCUUACACAUGCAAGUCGAACGGCAGCACGGGAGCAAUCCUGGUGGCGAGUGGCGAACGGGUGAGUAAAGUAUCGGAACGUGCCCAGUCGUGGGGGAUAACGUAGCGAAAGUUACGCUAAUACCGCAUACGAUCUAUGGAUGAAAGCGGGGGAUCGCAAGACCUCGCGCGAUUGGAGCGGCCGUUAUCAGAUUAGGUAGUUGGUGGGGUAAAGGCUAACCAAGCCGACGAUCUGUAGCUGGUCUGAGAGGACGACCAGCCACACUGGGACUGAGACACGGCCCAGACUACUACGGGAGGCAGCAGUGGGGAAUUUUGGACAAUGGGCGAAAGCCUGAUCCAGCCAUGCCGCGUGCAGGAUGAAGGCCUUCGGGUUGUAAACUGCUUUUGUACGGAACGAAAAGGUUUGGCCUAAUAAGCUGAGCUCAUGACGGUACCGUAAGAAUAAGCACCGGCUAACUACGUGCCAGCAGCCGCCGUAA